CGCAUGGGGACUGCGAUCACCCCACGAGGCCCCGGCCGAAGCAUCGCGUCCACUCAUCCAUUCAUGGAGAGGACGCGUCAUG
rnacentral:ncRNA from 1 species